ensembl:lncRNA
AUGGUGCCCAGAACUAUAGAAAAAAUGAACCAGGGAGUGAAGGAAAUAGUCCAAAAAGAGGAAGACCUGAUGAAAAAUACAUCCCAGCAAAUCACUGGGAUGCUUCAGAGGACAACACGAGAAGAGUCAAAAACGUCUGGGAGAAGCUCAAACUUGCCUGAGGAUAACUGCAAAGCCAUGGAAAGGGAUAUUGUAAUACCUGAAAAGGCCUCAAGUGACUUUGCAGCGAAAGCAGAUGGAGGAGCCUCUGGGGUACAAAGUGAAAGGAAAGCCACUCUGCUCCAGCAGCAGCCAUGUUGUUUGAGACACAAUUUGGGAUGUGAUGAGGAAGCAACCCAGGAAAGCCAUCUCUUCUCAAGGUUCACCAUCCAUUAAGAAGCUCAUCUUUAAUUCAGGUUUUCUGUAACAUGAAACUCAGUGAUACACAAGUACACUUAGUAACUAUGUAGGGCAAAAGAUCAAAACACUCCUGAAAUUUGCAAGAGUCAUAUUCUUGAUCAUUGUUAUGAAAUAGCCCUUGUUUCAUAACAGGGGUCUAAUCUUAUCACUGCUAAUCCUAAAUCUCAGUUUGUCCAAACAACAGCACUGUUGUUUCUACAGUUGCAACACAGCUUGCCCCCAUUUUGGUAUGUUUUUUAAUUAAUUAAAUCACACCUAAUGUAGUUGUAAAAGAUGGGAUCAGGCUUUCUUAAAAGUGUAAGUAACUUUGUCCAGAGAAGGAUGACAGAAGACAACUACACAUUGUGGUAAGGGCUGAAUGGUGCCAUCUGCUUUAAUAUUUUCCAGUUACAGCUGUUCUGACCAUUCAGAACAAAAUUAAGACUGAAUCUAAAAUAUUUUUUAAAUUAAAAUUUGGUCAUUGAGCACAAAGAAAUUGAGACAACUGUAACAGCUUCUGGGAAUCUGCUCAUCUGGGAGUUAAUUAGAAAAGAAUGACAUUUCUCCCAUUCAUCUACAAAAGUUAAUGUUGUGAUUGAUUAUUCUUGAACUAGCACUAAACAGCCAAGGAGACCUCACAGCCAGUCUGUGGAGUCUUCAGUGUCACAAGUAUACGUAACCUUUUUGUGAACAUGUGCCAAGGUUUAUCCUACUCCAGUGAGUGCAGACCACGUGUAGAGCAGUUUCCACUUUCAGCUAUUCAUCACAUUAAUGCGAUGUCCUGAGGCUCAGGCCUGGCCACCACACAAACAUGCAGUGGUGUGCUCCUAUCACUCCUAUUUGUUUAAAACUUCUUUAAACAGCUUAAAACAAAACAAAUGCAGCAAAGUGAAUAUCAGCACAAGGAUUUAGAUCAGUGCUUCACCAGCAUCCUUCAUUCCAGCUGACCGCUGCCCAUCAUAUAAUGCAGUCCAGAUCAAUAUCAGAAAUAACUGAGCAACCUGUAGAGCUAAAACAGACCUGAGUAAUAUUCUUGUGAGCUUUCCAAUUCAGGUGAAGACAGUUCUCAUAAACACAGGGCAACUCCAUGUUCCUUUCCAACACUCCCCACAAGCUCCGCUUUACUGUUUAUUCUUCUAAAUAAAUAAGCAAAAAUACUUCUGUCUUUACCA